GACGAACGCUGGCGGCGUGCUUAACACAUGCAAGUCGAACGAAGUGGCGAACGGGUGAGUAACGCGUAAUCAACCUGCCCUUCAGAGGGGGACAACAGUUGGAAACGACUGCUAAUACCGCAUACUGAAGGAGGGGAUUGCGUCUGAUUAGCUGGUUGGAGGGGUACCGGCCCACAAAGGCGAUGAUCAGUAGCCGGUUUGAGAGGAUGAACGGCCACAGUGGGACGGCGGCACGGCCAAGAAUCCGACGGGAGGCAGCAGUGGGGAAUCCUCCGAAAAUGAGGGAAGUCUGACGGAGCAACGCCGCGUGAGUGAUGGCGGCCUUCGGGUUUGAAAGCUUUGUUAAUCGGGACGCGGUACCGGAAUAGAAAGCCACGGCUAACUACGUGCCAGCAGCCGCGGUAAUUC
rnacentral:rRNA from 1 species